AUCCCUAGACCUAGAAACAGAAGCCAUUAAUCUCUACGUCAUUGAUUAUGCAGACUUGAGAGUCGAGGGAGGCUGUGGUUCUUUAAAACUGGAUCCUUCUUAUCCAUAAGCAUUUAAGAAUUCAAGCAGAAAAAAAAAAAAGCUUGACCCUUUUCCUCAAUAAAAAUCACAGAACUCUUUUAGAAAGAUAAGAAAUUCUGGAUUUGUGGCAUCAAACAUCACAACAUUUACGGGUAGAUACAGCAUAUGUCUAUGUGAAAUCCCACAGCUUUGGCCUGAAGCCAGACGUGGGGGUAUGGUUUUCUGGAGUUCAGUGCUGGGGAGUGUGAGGAUAGAUUUUUGUAACACUUUAAGAGCUGGUUUUGUGUGGUGGGAGUAAUAUGCAGUGUUAUUUCAAGUGUUAUUUCAAUAGACAAGUAGCCAUGGCUUCUGCGAUUGUCCUUCCUCCUAGCUCUGCUCCCAAGCCUGCAGGCUUUCUCACCCCCAAACCAACUGAAUGGCCAAACAAGGGCCAGAUGGGUAAUCCUGAGAUAACCUACCUGGUAGAGCCUGAGAAGGAUCGCCUCCUUAAAUUCUAUACCCUGGGAGCCUCUUCUGCCUCCCCAGAGUCUCAGCCCUGAUAUGAGAUAAUGCACUGAAAGUUGGAAAAUAUUUAACGAAUAGCCCAACCUUCUAAUAUCUCUCCUCCUGGUAGAGCCCACACUUCCGACAUAAUUUCCACCCACCUCCUGGACUAUACUGUUACUUGAGUGGAUUGCUGAGGACUUCUUUCUUCCAUCUGCCCACUGCAUCCCAAUACCUGCUUGGUACCUGCUUUCUACCAAGUUUAUAAUUUCUCAUCUCUAUAGAGGAGAGGAAGCUGGAGACCCAGUCUUGUCCAUUUUUAAAACAGGAUGCCUUUUUUAUGUCCAUCGACAGAUGAAUGGAUUAGGCAGAUGUGGUCUAUAUAUACACAAUGGAGUACUACUCAGCCAUAAAAAGAACAAAAUAAUGCCAUUUACAGCAACAUGGAUGGAACUAGAGACUCCCGUACUGAGUGAAGUAAGUCAGAAAGAGAAAGACAAAUACCAUAUGAUAUCACUUAUAUCUGGAAUCUAAUAUAUGGCACAAAUGAAUCUUUCCACAGAAAAGAAAAUCAUGGACUUGGAGAACAGACUUGUGGUUGCCAAAGGGGAAGGGGAGCAAGUGGGAUGGAUUUGGAGCUUGGGGUUAAUAGAUGCAGAGUAUUGCCUUUGGAAUGGAUUAGCAAUGAGAUCCUGCUGCAUUGCACUGGGAACUAUGUCUAGUCACUUAUGAUGGAGCAUGAUAAUGGGAGAAAAAAGAAUGUACACAUGUAUGUGUAACUGGGUCACCAUGCUGUACAGUAGGAAAAAAAAUAAAAGUUAAAAGAAAAACAAAAAACAACCAAGAUGGAUGUUUCCCUGCUGCCACAGCCUUUGUCACCAAGCCAUCCAGUCUGGAGUCAGUCAGGAGACAGGUGGGGAGAUUUGCUGGGAGAGGUGGGAAGUUUGCUCCCAUUUUAAGUGUUUGGGAGCUCCGCUUAGCAGUGCCCUCUGCUGCCCUCUGUGGCCAAAACAUCAAGGUCUCUAGAGACAUUCCUAAAUCCUGGGGUCCAUCUCUCCCUGCCAUCUUCUUUUAAAGCUUUUCUCCUUUAGUGCUCUGUGGGCUUUAAAAAGGAAAGUGGGACACUGUAGCCACACGCCUGCAUCUCGUUUAUACACUCAGCUCCUUCCUACAAAUGUUGUUCAACUGAAUCCUGGAAGAACUCUUAGGAAAUCAUGGGGCCCCUCAGCUCUGCUCAAAGCAAGGCUGGAUCCAAUCCUUCUGGGAAUUAUAUAGGCUUUUGGUGAAUCUCUCUGCCUGCCAAAAUCCCAGAUUCUUCAAAGUUACUCACUGGGAUUUCCACAAAAUCUGUGUAGUUGUUUAUCUUAGCCUGGGACCUUUCACUUAGAGGGCAAAAAUUCCUAUUAGAAAGAUGAGCAGGCUGGCCAUGAAAAGAAGCUAGGUUAAUAUGGUUCAUGUGUUCUUGACUGAUACUUUAGCUUUCCUCUUUCUUUCCUUUUCUUUUUUUUUUUCUUUUAACAUUUAAGAAGCUAAUUUCAUAAGCUCAACCCUGCUGAAACAUUCUCUUUGAGUUGGAGGUGUUGCUUUGUGACCUGCAAGCACAGUCAAGAACUCAGAGGUAUUUUUCUUGCUCUAGCAGCUCAUGAGCACCUGCAAGCUGCCAAAGCACCUAUUUCUUCUCCCCCUGCAGUCCCAAGAGAGGUGAGUAAGCUUAUUGCUCAUCAAUGGCGAACUGUGUCUCAACAAUUUGAAUUCUGCAUUAAGACAAGUCAAUGUGUCCAUUAGGAUUGGCUGGCUGGAGAAUUCCAGUACAAAAUCAACUCUUUCCUGAAACCUACCAUCACCCCCCCAAAAAAAAAGCUCCCUAGAGGAUCUAUAAGUUUUGUUUUAAUCCCUUGACGGUCAGGCCUAAUAUGUGAUUUCAAAGUUUGUGGGCACAGGGCUCAGCAACUCUAGGAAAAUGAGAAAAUGUGCCUGGUUCCCCAGUUCUCUGCUGUUGUUUGUUUUUCUUUCCCACCCCUAUUCUGCUUUCCAGCACCUUCCAAAGGCUCCUGGAAAGUAUCUCCAUUCUCUUACAGGAUGCAAGGGAAAAACACGUUUAUUUUGUAUUUUGGUGGUGACACAAACUUAUACCAAAAUAGUCUUUUUAUGUAAAUUGUUUUAUUUUUUCUUGAUAUUUAUUUUUGUAUUAUGGUAAAAAAUGCAUCAAUUAAAUUUACCACCUUGACCAUUUUUCACAAUACAGUUCAGUAUUGUUAAAAUGUUUCCCAUUGUUCGGAGUUCCUGUUGUGGCUCAGUGGCUAACGAACCUUAGUAUCCAUGAGGAUAUGGGUUUGAUCCCUGGCCCUACUCAGUGGGUUAAGGAUCCAGCAUUGCUAUGGCUGUGGUGUAGGCCGGCAGCUAGAGCUCUGAUUCAACCCCUAGCCUGGGAACCUCCAUAUCCCACAGGUGCGGCCCUAAAAA
rnacentral:lncRNA from 1 species